rnacentral:rRNA from 1 species
AUAAACGCUGGCGGCGCACAUAAGACAUGCAAGUCGAACGGAAGUCGUUAUAUUGAUUUGAAGAGAACGGAGAACUUGUUCAAAGGGACAUGAUGAAGAUUAUAACAAUGGCUUAGUGGCGGACUGGUGAGUAAUACGUAAGCAACCUGCCUAUUAGAGGGGAACAACAGUUAGAAAUGACUGCUAAUACCGCAUAUGCCAUAGUAACCACAUGGUUACAGUGGGAAAGGAGCAAUCCGCUAAUAGAUGGGCUUACGGCUGAUUAGCUAGUUGGUGGGGUAACGGCCUACCAAGGCGACGAUCAGUAGCCGGACUGAGAGGUUCAACGGCCACAUUGGGACUGAGAUACGGCCCAGACUCCUACGGGAGGCAGCAGUCGGGAAUUUUGCGCAAUGGAGGAAACUCUGACGCAGUGACGCCGCGUGCAGGAAGAAGGUUUUCGGAUUGUAAACUGCUUUAGACAGGGAAGAAAAAGGACAGUACCUGUAGAAUAAGCUCCGGCUAACUACGUGCCAGCCGCCGC